rnacentral:misc_RNA from 1 species
UUAAGUUCAGCGGUAGUCCUACCUGAUUUGAGGUCGAAUUUGUCAGACGUGGGUCAACCCAACGUGAUCAAAGAUUUCCCCUUUUAGGCUUUCUCGGGCGACGCAGAUAAUUAUCACAUCGACGAUACUUUGCCAAGGAUCGGAAAGCUCAUGCAUUCAAGAGGAGCCGACAAGCACAGCAGGGCACAAAGCCCAUUCAU